CAUGACUGGUCCGGGACCUCUAGAGAUUGGAGUUUGAGCCUGGAUCUCGCUGCACGCUGGCGGCCGCUUAACACAUGCGAGUCGAACGAAGCUAUUGCGCAAAAUCCUUCGUGAGGAGGCCGAUAGAGUGAGUGGCGGAGGGGUGAGUGACGGGUGGCCUAUCUGCCUUAUACAGGUGGAUAACAGAGACAAAUUUCCGCUAAUACCCCAUAAGACCCCAUUGUCGCAUGAUCGAAAGUGAAAAGAUUUAUUGGAAUAAGAUGGGCCCGCGCCUGAUUAGCUGGCUGGGGAGGUAAAGGUUCACCAAGGGGACGAUCAGUAGCCGGCCUGAGAGGGUGAACGGCCACCUUGCCACUGAUACUCGGCCCAAACUCCUACGGGAGGCAGCAGUGGCCAAUAUUGGACAAUGGGGGGAACCCUGAUCCAGGGACGCCGCGCGAGUGAUGAAGUAUUUCGGCAUGUCAAGCUCUAUCAGCAGGCAUGAAAAUGACGGUACCUGACUAAGAAGCCCCGGCUAACUACGUGCCAGCAGCCGAGGUAAUACGUAGACCUGCAAGCGUUAUCCGCAUUUACUGGGUGUAAAGCGAGCGCUCACGGUACUGCAAGUCUGGAGUGAAAUUCGCGUGCUCAACCUGCUUGAUGCUUUGCACACUGUGGUACUGGAGUGUCGCAGAGGUAAGCGGAAUUCCCAGUGUAGCGGUGAAAUGCGCAGAUAUUGAUAAGAACACGUGUGGCGAACGAGGCUUACUGAACGAGUACUGACGCUGAGGUUCGAAGGCUCGGCGAGAAAACAGAAUUAGAUACCCUGGUAGUCCACGCGUUUACUAUGUAUACUAGGUGUUUGAGGCUACACAUGCAGUGCCGUCGCACCUCUAGCACUCAUUCACCUGGGAGCACAUU
rnacentral:rRNA from 1 species